GAUGAACGCUGGCGGCGUGCCUAAUACAUGCAAGUCGAGCGAACGGACGAGAAGCUUGCUUUUCUGAUGUUAGCGGCGGACGGGUGAGUAACACGUGGAUAACCUACCUAUAAGACUGGGAUAACUUCGGGAAACCGGAGCUAAUACCGGAUAAUAUUUUGAACCGCAUGGUUCAAAAGUGAAAGACGGUCUUGCUGUCACUUAUAGAUGGAUCCGCGCUGCAUUAGCUAGUUGGUAAGGUAACGGCUUACCAAGGCAACGAUGCAUAGCCGACCUGAGAGGGUGAUCGGCCACACGGGAACUGAGACACGGUCCAGACUCCUACGGGAGGCAGCAGUAGGGAAUCUUCCGCAAUGGGCGAAAGCCUGACGGAGCAACGCCGCGUGAGUGAUGAAGGUCUUCGGAUCGUAAAACUCUGUUAUUUGGGAAGAACAUAUGUGUAAGUAACUGUGCACAUCUUGACGGUACCUAAUCAGAAAGCCACGGCUAACUACGUG
rnacentral:rRNA from 1 species